rnacentral:rRNA from 1 species
AAAUAUUAAUUCACACCCACCAACGCCAGGGUAUUACGAGCCCUAGCUUAAAACCCAAAGGACUUGACGGUGUCCCAUCCACCUAGAGGAGCCUGUUCCAUAAUCGAUAAUCCCCGCUAUACCUAACCACCCUUUGCCAAUCAGUCUGUAUACCUCCGUCGCAAGCUUACCAUAUGAAUGCUCAUAGUAAGUUUAAUGACCACAAACACCAAUACGUCAGGUCAAGGUGCAGCUCAUAAGGUGGCAGGUAAUGGGCUACAAUUUCUAUAUUAGAACAAACGAAACGCUGCAUGAAACACAGUCACGAAGGCGGAUUUAGUAGUAAAAAGAAAAUAGCGUGUUCUUUUUAACUAGGCCCUGGGACGUGU